rnacentral:rRNA from 1 species
AGAGCGAACGCUGGCGGCAGGCCUAACACAUGCAAGUCGAGCGCCCGUAGCAAUACGGGAGCGGCAGACGGGAUAGUAACACGUGGGAACGCGCCCUUCGGUUCGGAAUAACUCAGGGAAACUUGAGCUAAUACCGGAUACGCCCUUACGGGGAAAGAUUUAUUGCCGAAGGAACGGCCCGCGUCCGAUUAGCUAGUUGGUGAGGUAAUGGCUCACCAAGGCGACGAUCGGUAGCUGGUCUGAGAGGAUGACCAGCAUCACUGGGACUGAGACACGGCCCAGACUCCUACGGGAGGCAGCAGUGGGGAAUCUUGCACAAUGGGCGAAAGCCUGAUGCAGCAACGCCGCGUGAGGGACGAAGGCUUUCUGAGUUGUAAACCUCUUUCAGCAGGGACGAUUGUGACGGUACCUGCAGAGAAGCCCCGGCAACUACGCGCCAGCAGCCGC